rnacentral:lncRNA from 1 species
UCUAGUAAUCUAGAAAGAAGGAAGGAAGGAAGGAAGGAAGGAAAGAGAGAGAGAGAGAGAGAGAGAGAGAGAGAGAGAGAGAGAGAGAGAGAGAGAGAGAGAGAGAGAGAGAGAGAGAGAGAGAGAGAGAGAGAAAGAGAGAGAGAGAGAGAGAGAGAGAGAGAGAGAGAGAGAGAGNNNNNNNNNNNNNNNNNNNNNNNGAGAAAGAGUCUUUCAGCCCAUACGAAUCAAGUGGGGGGGGGGAGAGAGGCAGAGGGAGAGAGAGAGGGAGAGGGAGAGGGAGAGGGAGAGAAAGAAAGAAAGAAAGAGAAGAAAACAAACAAGGGAGGGAGGGAGAGAGGGAAGGAAGGAAGGAAGGAAGGAAGGAAGGAAGGAUGGAAGGAAGGAAGGAAGGAAGGAAGGAAGGAAGGAAGGAAGGAAGGAAGGAAGGAAGGAAGGAAGAUUAAGUGAUCUAGUCCCACUUUCUCAUUUUUGGGGAGAUAAUACAAUAUCAACACAAAUAAUUAUACUAAAUAUAGGGUGUGAUAGAAGCAAAGGACAGAGCCAAGGUGCUCUUGGAAAACUAGAGGAACAAGAAAAUACCUUUAGCUGAGAGAGCUCAGAGAAGGCUACCUGGAGAACCUGAACCCUAAAGUAUGAGUAGUGAAGAUGAAAAGAGAAUAACUUCAAGGUAUGGGGGAAAGCCUUUAUUAUCAAUGAAUGAAAAAGUAAUAUAACAUGCUGACAUUGGGAGAAUAGCUGGUAGGUUGGUUGGAUAUAAAAAUGAGAAGGACAGAAUAAGAUAUAAACCAGAAAGUUAGGUAGGUACCAGACAGAGAAGGGCCUUAAAGGUGAGCUUGUGGUGUUUACACAGAGUGAACAUACCCUAUGCUUCAUGCUAGAGGCAAUGAAGAGCCUCUGAAGGCUUUUGAGCAAGGAAAUGACGUGGCCAAACCUGUACUCUAGAAAGAUUAUCUUUUUCAUUUGAGUGAAGGAUGAACCAGACAGGUGAAAAAUUUUUGUCUCACAUGUUCAUUAUGUGACUGACCUCCCUCCCUUUCUGGUCAUUACAUUCUUAAUAAUGACUUUCUCACUCCUUGUUCUCAGAUCCUCAUUGGUAACUUGCUUUGACCUUUUUAUGCUCACCAGGUGUGUCGGUCUAUCACACUUUGUGUUUUGUGUCAUUUUAAUUCUUUGGGGAGCAUUUUGUGGUAUCAGAAAGGAACCAGCUUCUCUGAAAAAAUAACAGAGCUAAGGACAUGCUGUUCCAUGGUUAUGUUAAAAAAGCAGCUUUCUCAUUAAAAGGCAAAUCUUUCAUCUCAAAGGUUGAAUAGGAUGGAACCUUAAAAAGAAUUCCAGCUGGUUAAAUUUAGAGGUUUAGGGAUGGGGUGAGGGGAAUUUAAAAACAGGCCAGGCACAGAAUACUUGUUGGUUCUUGACUCU